rnacentral:rRNA from 1 species
AUUGAACGCUGGCGGCAGGCUUAACACAUGCAAGUCGAGCGGAGCGAGGGUGCUUGCACCUUAGCUUAGCGGCGGACGGGUGAGUAAUGCUUAGGAAUCUGCCUAUUAGUGGGGGACAACAUUCCGAAAGGAAUGCUAAUACCGCAUACGCCCUACGGGGGAAAGCAGGGGAUCUUCGGACCUUGCGCUAAUAGAUGAGCCUAAGUCGGAUUAGCUAGUUGGUGGGGUAAAGGCCUACCAAGGCGACGAUCUGUAGCGGGUCUGAGAGGAUGGUCCGCCACACUGGGACUGAGACACGGCCCAGACUCCUACGGGAGGCAGCAGUGGGGAAUAUUGGACAAUGGGCGGAAGCCUGAUCCAGCCAUGCCGCGUGUGUGAAGAAGGCCUUUUGGUUGUAAAGCACUUUAAGCGAGGAGGAGGCUCUUAAGGUUAAUACCCUUGAUGAGUGGACGUUACUCGCAGAAUAAGCACCGGCUAACUCUGUGCCAGCAGCCGCCGUAA